AUUGGAGGCGGGUCUGUUUUGAAGAGCACAUGAUGAGUCUGCAUUCUCUCUUGAUAUGUUAGCAAUUUGAUGAUUAAUUUGAUAUGGCAAAUAACGUGCUGCUGAAAAGCAAAAGACUCUAUAGACAGCGAAGGGAUGCUGACCCAGAUGAUCCAGACUGUAGAGCAGGCUACCUUGAAAAAACCCCACCAGACUUACUUAAAGGAUUUAGAAAAAAAAGAAAGAGUGAACGAUCUCACAGAAAGAGGAAAAAGACGAGCGAAAGAAAUGGCGGGUCAGACAGGGAAAACACAGAUGUUGAGAGCAGGAAAGACGGUGUUGACCCCCCCCCCAUUUUCUCCAGACUGUCAACCCUGUACUUCAAGACAAACCGAAGCGCAGAGGUCGACACAGGACAGUACAUAAAGCCUGAAGAAAACAGCAUAAGUUGCAAUAAACGUCAGUAUUUGCAGGGUACAAAUCAAGACCCUGAAAGUCUAAGAACGGAGACGAGAAGCACACUACAUGGCCACCCUGCCUCCUCAACAAUUAAUAAAAACUCUAAACUUCCACUAUGGGCCUUGGGGGAACUUUGAGCAAAGCAAAGCAGCCAAAUCAGACACAGCCAAACAAGGGUUUGCAAAUAUACUGAGAUGAAAGCUAAUAAAUACAUGCAAAUUCCAAAAGUUGUGAGCAGAGUAUUGUUUUUUUUUUAAAUACAAACCCUGGAAGCAACAAAAGAGGUCAACAAGCAAGCUUGGUGGAAAUAAACAAGAGGACAGACAGCCUUGAGACAGUUUUACCUGGCAGGCAAGCCCCUGCCAAGAAAGACACUAUCACACUAAGGAAGGUGAAGAAACAGGAGGCUCCUUUGUGAUUCCCGGUGUAACCUCCACAGGAAAUGUGUUGCUGAGCAUGGGCAACAGAUUUCAUCAUACACCGCCUUCUGAAGGGGCAGACCCUUUUGGGUGGUGACACCGCAGGAGAGGCCAAGAAACUUGCCGGUGCAAGACUCAUGACAAAUUGUAGUUUAUGGCAAAUAAAAUGCACAACCUUGGACAUAACCGAGGAAGAGCUUGUUACCCAGUUCCCGGAACAGUGCUUUAAAAUGUAGGAGACAUCUGUUCAACAUUCGAUGGCAGGUACCACAGCUACCGGACCUUGAGAGAGAACCUGACCAAUGACUGCCUGAUCCAUAUAGGUUUUAGUGAAAACUUCAAAUGCAUGUAUGCUUCAGAGAUUCAGUCAGUUCACAGUUCGGGGGUUCACACAAGCAGGUGACGCUCCACACUGGUAUCCUCUAUGUGGCAGAGGAGCCCCCACCCAUCUCUUUCUGCACCUUCUCACCCAGCAGCCAUAUGGGCACAGCUGGACCCCAUUCUGGACAUGCUAAAACAGCAGUACUCUACCGUGAAACACCUUCACUUCUUCAAUGAUGGCCCUGCCAUCCAAUAUAAACAGAAGGGCAACUUCUAUAUGGUUCGCACUGAACCUUUCAAGAAUGGCAUCCAGGGAUUAUGUGGAACUUUUUUGAGGCCAGUCACACAACGUGUGCUCCGGAUGGAGUGGGCGGUUCACAGCUGACCUCUUGGUCCACCACGGAAAAGACAUAACUGAAAUGUGUUUCUAUUAGGAGGUAAGAUACUCUGGCACUCAAAUACAGUUGUUAUAUGUCAGUGAGGAAGAGGUGGCAUAAAGUAAUCAUAAAAGGAACCAUGCGAAUGCACCAGGUUCUUAAUAUCAUGCCUGGCAUCCUAAAAUGUCUCUGCCAAGCAGCGCAAGGAGUGUGGGAUUGCCCAUGUUAUGGACUCCAAGAAAUCACUCUCCCGACAGUGCCUGCUAAUGGCAACGGUCUCUCACCUCCACAUCAAACAGAUGUCAUUGACCCAGAUGCCUCAGCUCCACUUCGUCCAGAUGUCAUCGAGGCUCACCACCCUGGACAGUGGUGCAUUAUGAACUAUGACGAACAAACAAACCCUGCUGUUAUACUGGAGGUCGAAGAACAAAAGGUCAAAGUUAAGUGCAUGCACAGGAAUGGAGUCGACAAGUUCUUCUGGCCAAGCCCAAGAGAUGAUAUCAACUGGUAUGGGGAUUUACCAGAUUGUGUGUCUGAUGCCAUAGCCUCUGCCAGUGAACAAAAGAUCAGAUUGACCACAGUAUCUGGAAGUACUUGGAGGAGCACAUGAAUGUGUGAAAGUGGCAGGUGUGAACUGGCUACCAUAGAAGAAGCCGUCAGCGGCUAGAAAGCAAUGGAGACUGGCUCGGAGAUGACAACAGAUGGACGUGACACAAUAACAUGGCAGAGACGACCAUCUCAAGUAAAAGUGAAGUUAGUAUGGGAAAUCAUUUGUACGGGAAAAGUUAGUACAGGAAAUGGGCCUAUUACAUGAACAUUUUUGACUUUAGUCCUAGUUUACAUUCAAUGUUGUGUUUCUAUUGUUAUAAUAGACAUGUUUUAUGUUGUUAGGAAAUACAUUUUAGUCCAUAAGAUUAAGACCAAAAGAUGAAGACUAUUGACUAAAAUGUAUAUCCUAACACAACACUGUUGUACAAAGUAAAACAUGUCUUGGCCAGAAGAAAUGAAAGGUAUUACUAAGUUAAUCAAAUUUGUAUGAAAUAAUGAUAUGUUAUGUCAUUGCUUUCAGAUUGUGUCACUGGUGUUACAUUGCAUCACUGGCGUUAUUGCAUCACUGGCGUUAUUGCAUCACUGGCGUUAUUGCAUCACUGGUGUUAUUGCACGGCAUGUUGGUGUUCUGGCAUCAGUUGCCCAUUGUCAUAGAUUAUGUUUAUUUGUAUUGACACAACUGUUGCUGCGUUCAUUAGUAAGCAUUUUAAGAAUAUGCUAAUCCAAUUUUGGUGACUUAGCCUCCAUUAUUUCUGAUGUUACAACACAAAACACAUGGUACAAAUAUGGAAAUGUCUCACAAUAGAACUUUACAUACACCGGUUUAAAGUAAUUUAUUACUAAUCAAAACAAUUUCUUAAUAAUCGCAUUAACCCUUUUGUCUUUAAUUAUAUAUGCAAAUUCAAUUAUGAAAUUACAUUCAGAAAAGCCAGAAUUGUCAGCUAAAAUAUAGGUAACACCAGUGGUGUGAAGUACUUAGGUAAAAAUACUUUAAAGUACUAAUUUUUGGGGGAUAUCUGUACUUUACUACUUAUAUUUUGACAACUUGUACUCCACUACACUCCUUUUAAUUGAUUAAAAAAGAUAUAUUUUUUACCGCAAUUGGUAGUUACAGUCUUGUCCCAUCGUUGCAACUCCCGUAUGGACUCGGGAGAGGCGAAGGUCGAGAGCCAUGCGUCCUCCGAAACAACCCAGCCCAGCUGCUU